rnacentral:rRNA from 1 species
GGAAUAUUGGACAAUGGGGGAAACCCUGAUCCAGCAACGCCGCGUGGGGGAUGAAGGUCUUCGGAUUGUAAACCCCUGUUGGGAGGGACGAAGGCUUGCGGGCAAACAGUCCGCACGCUUGACGGUACCUCACGAGGAAGCCCCGGCUAACUCUGUGCCAGCAGCCGCGGUAAUACAGAGGGGGCGAGCGUUAUUCGGCAUUAUUGGGCGUAAAGGGCGCGUAGGCGGCCGAGCAAGUCUUGGGUGAAAUCCCUCGGCUCAACCGAGGAACUGCCUUGGAAACUGCUUGGCUUGAGGCCGGGAGAGGAUGGUGGAAUUCCCAGUGUAGCGGUGAAAUGCGUAGAUAUUGGGAGGAACACCGGUGGCGAAGGCGGCUCUCUGGACCGGUACUGACGCUGAGGCGCGAAAGCGUGGGGAGCAAA